rnacentral:rRNA from 1 species
AGAGUUUGAUCCUGGCUCAGAACGAACGCUGGCGGCAGGCCUAAGUCAUGCAAGUUGAACGGCUGUAGCAAUACAGCAGUAGCGGACGGGUGAGUAAUGUAUGGGAACGUACCUUCUAGUGGGGAAUAUCUUUGGAAACGAAGAGCAAUACCGCAUGAGUCCUACGGGAGAAAGUCGCAAGACGCUAGAUGAGCGGCCCAUAUUGGAUUAGCUAGUUGGUUAGGUAAUGGCUGACCAAGGCAACGAUCCAUAGCUGGUCUAAGAGGACGAUCAGCCACAUUGGGACUGAGACACGGCCCAGACUCCUACGGGAGGCAGCAGUCAGGAAUAUUGGACAAUGGGGGCAACCCUGAUCCAAGCCAUGCCGCGUGAGUGUUAAGGUCUUCGGAUUGUAAAGCUCUUUUGUGUGGGAAAAUGAUGAUGGUACCACAAGAAUAAGCACCGGCUAACUUCGUGCCAGCCGCAGC